UACGUAGGGGGCAAGCGUUGUCCGGAAUUAUUGGGCGUAAAGAGCGUGUAGGCGGUUCAAUAAGUCUGCUGUAAAAGUCGGGGGCUCAACCCCCGAAAGCCGGUGGAUACUGUUGAGCUAGAGUACGGAAGAGGCGAGUGGAAUUCCUGGUGUAGCGGUGAAAUGCUCAGAUAUCAGGAGGAACACCAAUUGCGAAGGCAGCUCGCUGGGACGUUACUGACGCUGAGGCGCGAAAGCGUGGGGAGCAAACAGG
rnacentral:rRNA from 1 species